UAAUACAUGCAAGUCGAGCGAAUGGAUUAAGAGCUUGCUCUUAUGAAGUUAGCGGCGGACGGGUGAGUAACACGUGGGUAACCUGCCCAUAAGACUGGGAUAACUCCGGGAAACCGGGGCUAAUACCGGAUAACAUUUUGAACCGCAUGGUUCGAAAUUGAAAGGCGGCUUCGGCUGUCACUUAUGGAUGGACCCGCGUCGCAUUAGCUAGUUGGUGAGGUAACGGCUCACCAAGGCAACGAUGCGUAGCCGACCUGAGAGGGUGAUCGGCCACACUGGGACUGAGACACGGCCCAGACUCCUACGGGAGGCAGCAGUAGGGAAUCUUCCGCAAUGGACGAAAGUCUGACGGAGCAACGCCGCGUGAGUGAUGAAGGCUUUCGGGUCGUAAAACUCUGUUGUUAGGGAAGAACAAGUGCUAGUUGAAUAAGCUGGCACCUUGACGGUACCUAACCAGAAAGCCACGGCUAACUACGUGCCAGCAGCCGCGGUAAUACGUAGGUGGCAAGCGUUAUCCGGAAUUAUUGGGCGUAAAGCGCGCGCAGGUGGUUUCUUAAGUCUGAUGUGAAAGCCCACGGCUCAACCGUGGAGGGUCAUUGGAAACUGGGAGACUUGAGUGCAGAAGAGGAAAGUGGAAUUCCAUGUGUAGCGGUGAAAUGCGUAGAGAUAUGGAGGAACACCAGUGGCGAAGGCGACUUUCUGGUCUGUAACUGACACUGAGGCGCGAAAGCGUGGGGAGCAAACAGGAUUAGAUAC
rnacentral:rRNA from 1 species